UUUUUUUUNAAGUUUAUUAUAGCUGGCAAAUCCCACUGUUUUAAUAAAUCCACGUCACAGUUUCCGGCGUUCCACAUCAUCUUCCGGGCGCCGGAAAAUUUUUAGGGGACACAAUUGAAAAAAUGUUGUUAGGUUGGGUACCGAUUAGAUAUUAUCGAUAAGUUGGGACAUAAUCGAUAAUUCGGCCAAACGAUGGGACAUAAAGUGAUAUUUACC
rnacentral:lncRNA from 1 species